AGGGGUGUAGUUCAAUGGUAGAACUAGGGUCUCCAAAACCUUCGAUGCGGGUUCGAUUCCUGUCACCCCUG
rnacentral:tRNA from 1 species